rnacentral:misc_RNA from 1 species
AAGGAGUCGUGACCCAGUUUGAGAAUAUCCCAUCAUGCACUCCACCAAAACAUUCGUCUUCCGUGUGUGCAGCCUGAGAAGCAAGAGACGAAUAGCGAUUCGUCGGUUUACCGGCUUUGGGCGGGUAAGAGAGUUUGUUUACUCCCCAUGUAUCGCCCACACAGUCAACCCCCGUGAAAGGAUAUAACCGCUCUUCGGGAAAUUUCAUGGAGUCUGUGCACGGGGAAGGAAAUUGCUAUCCAUUCCAUUCACUAUUGUGGGGACCAGCUAUGAUUUCUGUGGCAGGUUGAACUUAUGCAGUCCCAAUCAACAACAUGCCAUUGAGCUUGUACACAUUCUUUUUCCAUCACAAACUGGUUGAUGCUCGGAUAGGAUUGACUGAACCUCUUUUCGUACCGAAGUCAGUUUCUUGCUUGUUUGAAGUUUGGUUACAUGGAUGCACUAACGUGUUUGGCGUCAGUCGUGAUGUUCAAAGCUGCGAUUGUUCGCCAGAUGUAAAUAUUAUCGACCAACAAUGACAGCUGAAAUGGAUAAAACUUCGUCUUCAACAAAGCGGUCAACGCUUCGACGCAGUCGUACGAUAACAUGUAAUGUGUAUCCAGCUACACGACCUGUCCAGGAUCGUCCAGUGGACAGGACAAGAGAACCUUCACCAAACGACGAGACUUCCCCCAAGUCAUCGUGUCAAGCACUCCGACACGCAGUUUCGGCUUUAACGAGACUGGACGAUUUCAUAUGCGAGAAAAUUGGUGCCGGCUUUUUUUCAGAGGUGUUUAAGGUGACACACCGUACCACAGGACAGGUGAUGGCCUUAAAAAUGAACACGAUGACCAGCAACCGUCAUAACAUGCUACGGGAGGUUCAGCUCCUGAACCGUCUCUCACAUCCCAACAUUCUCAGGUUCAUGGGGGUUUGUGUUCACGAAGGGCAGCUGCACGCCUUGACUGAGUUCAUUUCUGGAGGGAGUUUGGAGCAGCUGCUGCAAGAGGAGGAGGAGCUUCCAUGGACACAGAGAAUUCAUCUGACCCAUGGGGUGGCCCGCGGUCUUCACUACCUGCACUCCAUGGGCUUUAUGCAUCGUGACCUCACCUCAAAAAAUAUUUUGAUCAAGAAAGAAGAUAACCGGAGCUAUCACGCUGUCAUUGCUGACUUUGGCUUGGCAGCUAAAAUUCCAGACCCUCUAAAUAAGGAAAAACUGCCAGUGGUUGGGUCCCCUUACUGGAUGGCACCAGAGGUCUUGCAUGGGGAUUUCUACAAUGAGAGGGCUGACAUUUUCUCCCUGGGCAUAAUCAUGUGUGAGAUUACAGCUCGCAUAUCAGCAGACCCAGAUGUCAUGCCCAGAAUGCAGAAUUUUGGAGUGGACUAUGUGGCCUUGAGUGAGAUGAUUGACUAUUGUCCUCUGGAUUAUCUGCAGUUAGCCUUCAAGUGUUGUCAGGUGGACCCUAGCAAGCGGCCUGAGGGUAGUGAGAUAAUUGAUUGGCUGGAGAAGAUUUACAGGAAUCUGCAGAAUGAUAUUGUUACACAGCAAGAAAAAGAGAAAACAGAGCGCAGUGGUCAUAAACGUUCGAGAUCAGAGGACAAUAUUUUACAAGCAAAUGACAGUGAAGCAGACACCAGCAAUGAGGAUAUCAUUGUUACACCACUUCUGAUUGGACAGGUGAUGAGUCGAGAUGAUCCAUCCUAUGAACCAUCAAGCACCAACCCCUUUGCAGCCAUUCAGCGCUUUCGACAUGGGCGCAAACUAUUGGGUACAUCUAUGGAUUAUUCUACAGACCUAAUUUCCCCAGCCACUCCAUUAACACCACCUUCCACCCCAGGCUGCCCUGAUUUCAAAUGUGCAAGAAAUCGAGAUCAUACUGAUGGGAUGGCAGUCAGGCGUUGUCAGUCACUCCCUUCAUCGCCAGUCCUUCUUCGUAGAGCAGCAGAAAAACUGCAUCAGGAGUCACUGCAUGGAAGUGCACGCUACUGUUCUCAGCAGCACCAGAGUGGUUUACAUGCCAUGCGAGCACGCUCCAAGAGUACUGUACUGGGUGAGGCACUGGCUGCCAGGUUGCAACGGGAGCUGUCUCCUGGCCUAAUUAUACAGCCUGUCAUGUCUACUUUUAUCCCCGAGUCUCAGCAAGAAGCAGAACUCUUGGAGACCGAAGGGACCUCUGUCUCAAACUACAAUAGCAGCUGUGUGAGAGGGGUGAAUGGCUUGGAAAGAAAUACACAGGACGAAGUGCUUGAUUGUCUGGGGCAAAGUCCAGGGAUACGGAGCUCAGUCCCUGGGGCAGUGUACAUCACCCCUCCUAGCAUGGCCUGCACAGCAGCAAACAAACGCAGCCUACGUAAGACGAAGCAAAAAAGUUUGGACGAGGACUGUGAUGCCGUGAUACACCAUCCGCAGAGAAAUGGCCACGGGCCAAGGGAAAAUGGAAACUAUUCUCGAGUUUUAUCAAGCAAGGGGAAUGCAGUUGCUAGCAGUGCUGAAGAGACGAGGGACAAAAAAGUGCUGCAGUUGGCCCCACGGGAGGUGAGUCCUGCCAGCAUGCGCAGCUCCUGUGAAUCAUUCAUGUCUAUUGAUGAACACGACACGUCAACACCAAGCUCCUUGUCCAGCUACAGUGAAGCCAAUGACUAACCUCUACAGGAGACAGAUCUACUCUUGCUGUUUGCAAAGCUUUUGUGUUAUGUAUCAUUAUGGAUAAGGAGAUCUGUGAUGACAACACUAUGAGACAAACUCUGUUCAGCUUCCUGUGCACACAAAGUAAACAAAAAAAGAAAUAUCAUGUGGACUAUUGAGGUGUUUCCUGCAUUUGAUGUAAUGCACUGCAAUCAUUUUCACUUUAGCAUGAAAAUGAAAAGUGGUCAGUAGACUUGUUCAUUCAAAAUUCAGAGCAACAGCAGACAUAUUCUUUUGAAGGCUCUUGUUGUUUCUGGUUCACCUGUGAAAUUCAGGGAAAUGGAAAGUGCAAUUUUUCAAGUACACAGUAUUUCUUGAGGUGCCAAAAAAAAAAACACAAGCAUCCUUUUAUUUGGGUGGUCUUUGAAAAAGGCAUUGUUGACAUGGAUGAGUCAAAUGCAGAAUAUUUGCAUAUCAUCAGAUACUGUAGAACAACUGAACCUAGGAAGAUUUAUUGUCUUUUGGGCUGGUGGGUCUACAACUCUAGGAGGAAGUAAGUUUUCGUCAGCAGGAAAGAACAAAGUAAGAAAAAAGACUGGAAUUAUUCUUUUUUAUAGUUUUUAUUUUGGUCAACGAUAAAGUUCAGGUAAAAAUUGCAGUCUUUUCAAAAUUGAAAUACUCUGAUGCAAACAUGUUUGGAUAGCUUUUGAACUCCUUCCAUAAGUGCCAAAAAAAGGCUUUUUAGUGUUUCUAUCCCAAGGCCAAACUUUCUAUUACAGGUAUAUAAAGUGUGAGUUGCUAUAGAUUUAAACUGAUACCAGAUUAUUCCAAAAACACUUUUGUUCACUUCAAAUGCACAUCGAAAGAGUGUAUGUCUACAAGAGGGGGAGAAUGUGUGUUUGUAUGCUGAAUUUUCAUGAGCUGGACUAAUGAUUUAAACAAAGAUUAUAGUGUGUAUAAAGGCUUGAAUGCUUUUGUGUCACCUUUAUUCAUGUAAGGUACAGAACGUAAUUAUUUUCAUUGAUUUCACUAUUAUCAAAUGUAAUAAAUAGGUUUUUAAACAUGCUUUGCUGUGUGACUAUUGUUUUCUUUGCGCUUCUCCUUUUCUUGAAGAAAAGUGAAACCAUUUAGGGCUGGAAUUUACCACGUAUCUGCUAGACCUAUAUUUAAGGGAUCAAGUAAAGUAGGCAGAUCUAAAGAAUAAAUACAUUUUCUUCUUUCUCACCUUAACAGAUCUAAAGACUUCUUGGUUAGAAAACUUCACUUUUCUAAAAUUUUACUGUUAUCGCUCCUGACUGACAGCAUCUCUUGUAUUUAUAGUAGCCAGACUGAAUUAGUUGAUUAUUCACUUAAAAUUUGUUUUGCUGCACACUAAUUAUAAGCAUUAAGGUGAGCAUGUAAAAAAAAAAAAAAGAAAACAUUGAAAGUGACGCUAGGGUAGAUGUCCUCUUUGAGGUGAAAAUAUCUGCUCUCAGUUUAUUAUUAUGAACUCAGUUUAUUACAGCUUCAUUUCUGCAUCAGCACAACACAAUUUUCUGUUGUCUUCUUUCAUGUCACCACAGUGGAAUUGCAGAAAUUGAACAACUUUAUUUUUUAAUUUCAACUUUAUUUAUUUAUGGUUAUUCUUGUUUCCCUUCAGACUGCUACAGCUGGAUGAGUGUUCUUUAACCUUUUGCCCACAUCACAUAGUCCUAGAGGUAUUUUACCAGUGACAAAAACAGCUGUAGGCAGAUUUUGAGAGAAUGUUGAAAGACAGUGAGAAAAGAGAAUCCAACAGUUGAUGAUGGGCAUAUGCAUAGCAUAAAAGUUUGGGAUGAGGGCUUUAUUAGGACAACAAGUGGUUUGCCAAAUAGCAAGAUUUUGACUUGCUUACAUACAAACACUCUGGUUAAGGUGAUGUUUUGCUCAUAACUAUUUAAGAGAAAUAACCGCACAAUCUUUUGGAGUUCCUCAAGGUCUUUUUUUUUCCUGUUGCUCAUACAGAUCACUCCAGAAUUCCUCAUUUGUUUAUAAAUGGAUAAAGCCAUUUGCUGCUAAUAUUCUUGUGUAAAGGAGAAGAUAUAUAUUUCCUUUCUGCAUCAACAUUUUAUUUGAUAAAUUUCUCUAUUCAUUACUUAUACUUCUUCACUAGUGUUACUAAACAAUAAAACAGGUUGCAUGAGGAAAGGAGGAAAUUAGCAGAAGUGUGAAGCUUGACCAUCAUGUUUUAACUAUGAAGAUGGUGAAAUCCUGCUCUUUCGAAGUCAUUUUUAUAUCUUUAAAUCUUUCUACAGGCAGAUCAGCAGCAAGGCAGAUUUUUUUUUUAUCCAUAUCAGUUAACUUUCUAAUAUAACUUGCUGCUUAUAAUUCACAGACCUUUGUUUGAUUGUGAAGCCAUGUUUUAUUGGUAGAGAGUAUGUUUGCGACUUGUAAAAUUUAAAAUAUGUAUGUUUUAUGCAAGCCCCAAACACUUAUUCCUUGCAUAAAUGUGAGAUUCUCUUUGCAAGACUUCUUUUUUCUAUUUUUGUUGUGACAUUUAUUGUUGCUAUUUGUGUUUAAUUGGAAAGUGUUGAAAAAUGUUGUAAUCUUUUAUUUUGAGAAAGUCAAGGGCAUAUAUGUUGCUUUUAAGGUUACUGUAAGCAAUGAUUGAGUUGUUAAAUAUCAGUGUUUAAGGAGCAGGGUCUUUAUGUGUUGUCUAGAGUGUAAAGAUGUUUGAGCCGCAUAUUCUUUUGGGCACUCUCACUAGGGAUGCUAUGUCUAAAAAGAAAAUCUCAGAUUGGUUUCCUUACUACCAUUAUGCCAUGUUACCGAAAAGUGUCUGCGUUGAUCAUUAUCAAAAGCCUUCACAAUGCUGUACACCAUAUACACCUAACCAGUGUGAAAAAACGAUCAGUUCACAAACAUAAGUUUAUUUAUUUCUUGGAUGCAUCACUGGCAAGAAUGGGAAGAUUAAAUGAUUUCUGUGCCUUGUGUCAGAGAAGCUCUUGAGUUACAUCACUGCAAACCCUGUUUGUAGACAGCUGCUGGCCUUGCAACUUUCGUCCAAAAUUUGAUGAGGAUAUAAUUGUAGUUCUUAAUUUACUGUAGUUCCUUAUUUAUUGGAAAUUAUUUGAGGAGUGGUGAUGGGAAAACGCUUUUAUUUUUUACCUAAAAAUAACCAUGGCAUGGAAGGGGUUUAGACUGCAAAUGCCCAGCGUUGCUUUAAACAGAAGUGGCUCUAGCUUUACUAAAAUUAAAAGGAGAUUUGUGACAGUUCAUUAUGGAAAAGUAUCCCUGGAAUUCCAUCUAACAAAUGCCAAUAUAUGCACAAUCCAUAAAAUGCAAUCACCAGGCACAAAAAGGUGGAAAUAUUUAGUCUGUGAUCUUUAUGGUACUGGUAAAUGCUUGACCUGCACAUUUUCAUUCCACUGUUAGUGCUGUGUAUAUUGCGAAUGCUGCAUAUACUGUAGUUUUUUUUGUAAUAGUCAUUUACCUGUGUAUAUAUUGCAGCUUCUAUGCUCACCGAUAGCUGCUUCUACCUGGAGAUGUAGAUAUUUCUUUCCUACAAAAAUGCUGAUGUAAAUUAUUUUAGUCCCUUGACAGUGGUUGUUUAAAAUAUGUUAAAAUAUAUGUGUGUGUAUGCAUGCACAUGAUUGUGAUAUGUGGAGGAUAGUUUACAUGCACUUGCUUCUACUUGCAGCUCUGGUGUUGUCAUAUCAUAUUUUAUCUGUUCCAUUUAUUCAUUUGAUGAUUUGUGUACCUCAAAUUAUCCAAAUUAUCAUAACUGCAUCCUUUUGACUUUGGUGUUAUGUUACUCAGUCAAGUUUACAUAUGAAAACAUAUAUUUUCAGUUUCUUGAUGGUAUGGAGAAAUAAUUGCAAAGAUUUAUUAUAUCACGUAAUGAAGCAUAUAAGAAUUUAUAUACAUUGAACAUUUUAUCCACUUAAUUUAUAUUAUCACCGUUAUAAAAUAUUUGCUUGAUUGGCUUUUGUUGUGUAUUUUUGAAUCCAGAGUCAGGAUCAAAUGCUGUUGAAAUAAUUGCAACUCAGAUAUUUACUUUUUUUUUUAUUAUUAUUAAAUUACAAAGAAUUUAAAAGGAUUGGCUUCUUUGAAGUUCUCAAUUCUCUUGAGUAAUGAUGUGUACAUAUUAUAAAUGGUCACUUUCCCAUGUUAAGACAUUAUAGUUGAGGUAUCUACUAUGCACCUCCAUGUUUGUAACAUUGAGCUAGACAAAUUUUUAUUGUUUUUCUGGUUACCAUGCAAAUUAUAUUGUUGAUCAUAAUGACUUGAGAGAGUUGUUUAAGGAUUUUCACUGUUUGCUUGCAUCUAGAAAAUGCCUAAUUUUUCCAAGAAUGUGGAAAAUGAUUGGUUUGUAUUCUGCACAUUUAUACAUAUAUAAAUUAUUUUAAUGUUAAACCAUAUUAAUUUACUACAAGUUUAUUUGUAUUUCAUGAAUGUCUCACUAGUGUCAAAGCUGUCAAAGAGGGAGGUAGUUAUAAUCAGAAAAACAGCUUACUAUUAUUAUAUUAACGGUUUAAUGUGCAGUUUUUUUUUCACUCUUUUUUGAAUGUCUUAAUAUUGAUAAUUAAUUGGAACACAAAGAUCCACAUCUUGGAAUUUUUUAUCAGGUAUUGGAAGAUUGAGAACAUUUUGGGGGGAAUGCUGGGUGAGCAUGCUGCCAGAAUAUGUCAUUUGGGCAUUUUAAGUUUCUUUCAGAUUUGAGAGGUAGUUAUUCAGCCUGAGGACCUAACUGGUCAUUAACAAAUUAAAAAUGAAAAAUGUCAAAUGAUUUCUGAUAUAUUUCAUCUUGUUAUCUCCAUUGAUGUAUAUACUAUACAUUAAUCUUUUGUCAGUUGUGAUUCUCUCAUGGUUAACAUUAAGACUUCUGCAACUUGUAUUUGAAAUCAUUCUUGCUAUUUAGCAUUUGCAAUCUUCUAAAUAAGUGAAAUAUUAGGGGUAGGGGCAGAAUCUAGCCUGUAUGACAUUGCAAUAUCUUUGUGCCUGGUGCAGAUGUGAUAAUUUCAAUUUUAAACUAUAGAUUUUAUUCAGCUGCAGUAUGGAAGUAGGCAGAUGACUUCAAAGUUGGUAAUCAUGGGAUUAGCCUUCGGGAUUCUCUACUCUGUGCCCCUGUAAUCUGUUCAUUGUAACAUUAUUUCUUUCUUUGGUGACAUUCAUCCUUCAUGUUUUUUGCUUAAAUAAAACUUUUCCUUAUUAUUUAAAAAAAAUCAGCCCCAUUUUAAGGUGGCCUGCAUUGUUAACAACAGUAAAACUAGGGUAUAAACAUUGUUUCUGCCAGAAAUUCUAUGAAAGCACUUGGGCUACAAAAGUAAACUUCUUUUUGUUCCUAAUCACCCCCAGUGGACCAUAGGGCCAACAAAUGUAUAACUAAGAACUCUUAAAGAAGUCCCACAGUAUCUUACUUGCUGGAUUAUUUAUCUUCUUUGCUAUUUUUAAUUAAAAUAAAGCAAAGUAGGAAAGAAACUGCAGAAAGUUAUGUUGCUGAUAUGAUAUUCCAAUUGUUAUAAAUGUGAUCAAAAUGUGUAAAAAAUAUACACUUUGCAGCUUGGUCAUUUCAGCAUUGUCAAUCUAGUCAUUGCGAUUUUGUGGUGACACAAAGCAGACAAGUCACAGAGCUCCAUAUUUGUUCAGACGGUGAUAUAGACUAUGGCCUCAAAUGAACUAUUUAGGAAAAGUGAAUUUUGGAAACCUUAAUUUGCUUUUUUUUUCAAUUUUCUUAUUACUUUUAACUGCCAACUUAUAACCACUUCCAUACAUUUUCUUUUUACUGUUGCUGUGUUCAUAGAAUAAUAGUCGACAACCAGAUAAUGAAAAUAAAGUUGCUGAACCAUU